CGAAAAGACAAUAUCCCUUAAUAGUUUUCAAUUCUAUUUUAAAUAAACAACAUAAAUGACAUUGCAAAGGAAUUGAAUUUGAUCAAGAUAAAGCACUAUUCUAUGUUAUUGUCUAUUCAUCAAAGGCAAACAAUGAGUAUAACAAAGGAAACAAAGUUAGUUGACAUCGAGAUGGGAAUACACCAAGUGAGAGGACUUCUUGAGGACAUAUUGAGAAAGCAAGACGAGAAUAUCCUAAAUUUGACUGAACAGACAGUUUUAAUACAAGAAACAAUACAAAACCUUCUUGUCGCCACUUCAGCAAACAUGUCUUCGACGUCACCCACACAAGAAGGCAAAAAUUGUGGUGCACCACUAUAUAUUCAACGUCUGCGACUUACUUAGACGCUAUAUGAAUUGCAUUUGUUGUAUAUGUAUAUGUAUAUGUCAUUCAUUGUUACGUGUAUAUCUAUUAUUAUGAUUUAUAUUUUUAUUAUUGAUUUUUUGUUAUAAUGUUUCGUGCUUCUUGUUGGCAAUUUGAAAGAUUGUUAAUAAAUAAUUAUAUAAAUUACAAAGUUUUAAUUUA